AUGGCCAUCCUCCAAAUCAGGGACGAGAUCGAGCUUAUUGGAGAAGCUGGAGUCAGAUCCGCCUCCCGCACCUUCUCUCCACCACGGAGAGCAGCCGGACAACAGAUUUUGCUAUCGCUAUGUGGUUGGCUUCCAGUAUGGUUCUGCUGUGCGCUCUUCAAUAUUGUUCAUCAUGAAGAUGAGCACUAUCUUGAUAUGAUCAGGAAUCAUGCUUCGGGAUGUCUUCCGGAGAUGAGGAAAGACGCACACAUGAAGCCAACGGACAGCCAGAUCAGGAAGGCGUGGAGCUUGAGCUGCAGCGAUGAUGACAACUGGGGCGUCAGCUGCAAAAACAACAGCUCAAGUGUUCAACCAAGUUGGUUGAACGCUCUUGUAGCUUUGGUUGAGAUCCUAAAGCUAUAUGAAGCACCAUGGAUUGAGUUUGCAAGCAAAAGGAUCACACAACCUGACAGUACUGGUAGCAGUCUUUUUCUUCCAAACUGUAGCAUUGAUGCCUAUAAAUUUGCAGGUACUGAGUUGUGUGCUGUUUUUCAACUCAAUGCUGCUCCUAAUGGUUUUGUGACUGUUGAAAGGCAGUAUACACCUCAUAGCCAGCUUUAG
rnacentral:rRNA from 1 species